rnacentral:misc_RNA from 1 species
AAGUCGUAACAAGGUUUCCGUAGGUGAACCUGCGGAAGGAUCAUUAACACGUAUCCAACGUUAAACCCCCCGUGAACCUUCAGUGCGCUCGCACUUUCUUAGAAAAGGUAGCAAUCCCUGGUAGGGACUUCUGCGUAGACUGUGCUUGAGCGUGAGGCAAGUGGCCUGGCAUUCCUCUGCUUGUUGGUGUCUGAAAGUGUCACCAGCUCUGUACGAAUGGCGCAGUCACGAUCGCUAGAGGCCGACACGGCCGGCGACCGGGUCACUGGGCGCGAGCCCCCCUCGUCACCUUUGCAUGAAAACGGGCCUGCGCUUAAUUGUGCGGCCACCAAACUCGAACAACUGUUAACAAUGGAUAUCUUGGUUCUC